GUGAAGUAUGAAAGGAGAGCCAGUUAGCAGCUCCCUCGACAAGGACGAGACUUAGUCUCACGACUACACACAUGGUUUAGGCACUGUCCUCAUGGACAUCUAACCAAAUUUUUAA